rnacentral:rRNA from 1 species
CCCGCUGAACUUAAGCAUAUCAAUAAGCGGAGGAAAAGAAACUAACAAGGAUUCCCCUAGUAACGGCGAGUGAAGCGGGAAGAGCUCAAAUUUAAAAUCUGGUUUGCUUGCAAAUCCGAGUUGUAGUCUGAAGAAACGUUUUCCAUGAAAGCUGAGGCACAAGUCCUUUGGAACAGGGCAUCAUAGAGGGUGAGAAUCCCGUCCAUGGUCUCAAGUCUUUCAUUUUGUGAUACGUUUUCUAAGAGUCAGGUUGUUUGGGAAUGCAGCCUAAAAUGGGUGGUAAAUUUCAUCUAAAGCUAAAUAUUGGCGAGAGACCGAUAGCGAACAAGUACCGUGAGGGAAAGAUGAAAAGAACUUUGAAAAGAGAGUUAAAAAGUACGUGAAAUUGUUGAAAGGGAACCGUUUGAAGCCAGUCUUGCUUGCUUGUGAUCAGUCUUUGCUUCGGCUUGGAUGCACUCUCAGGUUAUGCAGGUCAACGUCAGUUUGAGAGGUGGGAAAAAAGCUUGAGGAAUGUGGCCUUCGGGUGUUAUAGCCUCUUGCUAAAUACCAUCUUUUGGACUGAGGCUCGCAGCAAAAAUGUGGGGCAGGUUUGCGUUUGAGGUGAUACAUUAUUAAGACAGCUUGCUGACUUAGUUUUGUCUAUCUUCACUGUAAGCUUCGCUUCUAAUUUGCUUAGGUCGUUGACAUAAUGGCUUUAAAUGACCCGUCUUGAAACACGG